GACGAACGCUGGCGGCGUGCCUAAUACAUGCAAGUAGAACGAGUUGCGAACGGGUGAGUAACGCGUGGUAACCUGCCUCAUAGCGGGGGAUAACUAUUGGAAACGAUAGCUAAUACCGCAUACUGUGAGAUGGACCUGCUUUGUAUUAGCUAGUUGGUGGGGUAAAGGCUCACCAAGGCGACGAUACAUAGCCGACCUGAGAGGGUGUGCGGCCACACUGGGACUGGGACACGGCCCUGACCCCUACGGGAGGCAGCAGUGGGGAAUAUGGCACAAUGGGCGCAAGCCUGAUGCAGCCAUGCCGCGUGUAUGAAUAAGGCCUUCGGGUUGUAAAGUACUUUCAGCGGGGAGGCGUUACCCGCAGAAGAAGCACCGGCUAACGCCGUGCCAGCAGCCACGGUAAUAC
rnacentral:rRNA from 1 species